GCUACAGGCUUAACACAUGCAAGUCGAGGGGCAGCGCAGUGUAGCAAUACACGGGCGGCGACCGGCGCACGGGUGCGUAACGCGUAUCCAACUUUCCCGUUACUCAGGGAUAGCCUUCCGAAAGGGAGAUUAAUACCUGAUGGUGUUUGAAAUUCGCAUGUUCUUCAAACUAAAGAUUUAUCGGUAACGGAUAGGGAUGCGUGACAUUAGAUAGAUGGCGGGGUAACGGCCCACCAUGUCUACGAUGUCUAGGGGUUCUGAGAGGAAGGUCCCCCACACUGGAACUGAGACACGGUCCAGACUCCUACGGGAGGCAGCAGUGAGGAAUAUUGGUCAAUGGGCGGAAGCCUGAACCAGCCAAGUAGCGUGAAGGAUUACAGCCCUACGGGUUUUAAACUUCUUUUAUAUAAGAGUAAUGUGCACUACGUGUAGUGUAUUGCAAGUAUUAUAUGAAUAAGCAUCGGCUAACUCCGUGCCAGCAGCCGCGGUAAUACGGAGGAUGCGAGCGUUAUCCGGAUUUAUUGGGUUUAAAGGGAGCGUAGGCGGGAUAUUAAGUCAGUCGUCAAAGCCUGUGGCUCAACCACAGCCCGCGAUUGAUACUGGUAACCUUGAGUGCGGAUGAGGUGGAUGGAAUUCGUGGUGUAGCGGUGAAAUGCUUAGAUAUCACG
rnacentral:rRNA from 1 species